rnacentral:rRNA from 1 species
GAACGCUAGCUACAGGCUUAACACAUGCAAGUCGAGGGGCAGCAUGAACAUAGCUUGCUAUGUUUGAUGGCGACCGGCGCACGGGUGCGUAACACGUAUCCAAUCUGCCCGUUACUCGGGAUAGCCUUCUGAAAGGAAGAUUAAUACCCGAUGGCAUGUAUUUCCGGCAUCGGAGAUACAUUAAAGAUUUAUUGGUAUAGGAUGGCGAUGCGUGGCAUUAGGUAGUAGGCGGGGUAACGGCCCACCUAGCCGACGAUGCCUAGGGGUUCUGAGAGGAAGGUCCCCCACACUGGAACUGAGACACGGUCCAGACUCCUACGGGAGGCAGCAGUGAGGAAUAUUGGUCAAUGGUCGAGAGACUGAACCAGCCAUGCCGCGUGAAGGUCACGGCCCUAUGGGUCUUAAACUUCUUUUGUCAGGGAGCAAUAAGGUCUACGUGUAGAUCGAUGAGAGUACCUGACGAAUAAGCAUCGGCUAACUCCGUG